CGUGACUUUGUGGGGGCCAGGCUCCUUCGUUCAUCUUGGAGCCUCAGCCUGAGAGGCGGCCCACGGGGCUGACGCACAUCCGGGGCCACGGUGGGGCUCUACGAGGACCGAGACUGGCAGGGGCCCUCCUUCGCUGUCCCUCUGCCUUUCUUCAGCUGGUGGUCACCAUCUUUUUUAUUUAUUUUAUUUUUUAUUUUUAACCGUGGGCUUCCCCCCCACCCCCCGCCACGUUGCUGGUAGGCACCAUCUCCACACUCACCCUGCGCAGGACUCCCGCCGGCGGGCGCCAUCUUGGCGCACUCCCGCCGCAGAGACGCAGCACCAGGCGCACCUUGAGGGGGAACUUGUGCGCAUGUGUGGUGCCCGGGCUUCGUGUCUGGUGUCCAGCUUUUGUGGCUGCCACCAGAGGACACCUCUACAGAACCUGGCUGUGGUGGCCGGGGUAGGGCUUACGCUGGCGGGUCCCACAGGACUGUAACCAACGGAGAAAGAAUCCUUAAACGGCCACCGCCUCCAGGGCACAGCCAGAGGCAACAGAGCCAGGAGCUCAUUCUGUGCCAGAGGCCUAUCAGCUUAUCGACAUAGCUGCAGCCUGAGGGCCAGCCUCCUAACUAAACAUACGUCUAAAGGCUGACUGUCAUACUUUCCAGAACCUCAGUGGGCAAGAAAUGGAAGAAACCUAACUAUUGAUCGAUGAAUUAUACAUAUAAAGAAAACGUGGUAUAUAUUCACAAUGGAUUAUUAUUCAGCCAAGAAAAGAAUGGAAUUUUGCCAUUUGCCACAACAUUGGACCGUGAGGGCAUUAUGCUAACUAAAGAAAGUCAGACAGAGAAAGACAGGAAUGCAAUACCUGUAGCAUUUAAGACCAAAUGAAAACUUUUGAAUGAAUGACACAAGGCAAGGCCGGUGGCAGCUUUGGAAAACCAACCAUCAACUAAACCAAGUGAUGCUCUGGGGAAGAGAGAUGAGCUUUCCAAAGGAAGAUAGGCAGCCAAUGAGGAGGAUCCCAUCAAAAGAGAGGUGAGUUACUAUGGUUACUUUUCAGGAGAUUGAGUAACAGUGAACGGCUGCUCCCGGCCAAAUGGACCCUUUCCAGAGCAGGACCUAAAAAGAUUGUUGCUCUCCAUACGUGUUGAUUCAAUUAGUCCAUGCUGCACGAUGGCAUUUUAGCCUUAACCGCAGGCUUACUGCUCCCCGUUCUCCUCGCCACACACAGGGGCAGCGAAGUCAAAGGAAAAACACGGAGGGCUGAAAACUUCCGAACACAAACCUAGUAUCGAUGGGCAGGGGAAUCCUCAAGAACCAAUUCCAUGAUUUUUAAAAUACGAAGCCAGGUAAUUCGGGACCACCACCUGGCCGCUUUUCAAUGACCGGGAGCGGAGUAGGAUCCCAGAACAGUCCCUAUCCUCACCCUCAAGGAAACGGGUCUUUUCUGAGCCUCAGAGAAAGGCACAUGGCUGGAUGA